AAAUUUCAAAUUGAACCUAAAAAUCUUAACUUCAAAAAUUCAUAGAAAUUGUUAUGUACCUUAUUUGAGAAUGUUCCAAGAAUUAAAGAUGUUCAAAAUUAUCUACAUAAUCUAGGAAAAAUGUUUAAAAAUAGAACUUUAAUUGAACCUAAAAAUCUAAAUAUGCUAUGUAACUUAAACAAUUCAUAAAAUUAUUAUUUACCUUAUUUGAGAAUGGUGCACAAAUUAAAGAUGCUCACAAUCAUAUACAUAAUCUAGGAAAAAUGUUAAAAAAAUAGAAUUUUAAAAUUGACACCUAAAAAUCUAAAAUACGCUAAUUAAAUUCAAAAAUUCAUAGAAAAAAUGGUCCAAGAAUUAAAGAUGCUCAAAAUAAUCUAUAUAAUCUAGCAAAAAUAUUUAAAAAAAUUGAAAAAUUUUAAAUCGAAUGGGAAUUGGAUUUAACUGCCGGUUUGAACUGGCCAAUUUUGGGCUGGCUCAUGGGAGGGGGAACCGUAACCAAACCAGCCCGCCCCUCCCACUGUCCCUAUCUGGGGCUCAAGGGCCAGAACCGUUGAGCGGGUCCGAUAUGGGUUUGACUCAGACCAGUCUCAAUCCCGUUUACGGUCUGAACCGGAUUGUGGCCAGGCCUAGUUGUGCUUGUUAAAAUGAGGACAAAAGUCAUAAGUAAUGGGUACCUUAUGACUUUUGACUUUAAGCUACUUCUAUAUAUAUAAAUAUAUAUUAAACAUUAUUAACUUUGCUUGAAAAGAUUAAAUAUUAUUAAACAUUAUGUUGGGAUUCACUAGAAUCAAUCCAGUGCAUUUCAGUUGCUAUAUCCUGAUGUGGCACUAAUAAUAAACCAGAUUAUGUUUGCACUGCUACCAUUGUUGCUCCAAGAAAAAACUACUUUAUAUAAUCAUUAUGGCAGAAAGAAUUUAAUUGAAUUAUCGC
rnacentral:misc_RNA from 1 species